UGGGGAAUAUUGCACAAUGGGCGGAAGCCUGAUGCAGCGACGCCGCGUGAGGGAUGACGGCCUUCGGUUGUAAACCUCUUUAGUAGGAAGAAGCGUAAGUGACGGUACCUGCAGAAAAAGCACCGGCUAACUACGUGCCAG
rnacentral:rRNA from 1 species